rnacentral:siRNA from 1 species
GGAGGAGUUGCAAAGUGAUAGGGA